rnacentral:rRNA from 1 species
AAGAGAAGCUUGCUUCUCUUGAGAGCGGCGGACGGGUGAGUAAUGCCUAGGAAUCUGCCUGGUAGUGGGGGAUAACGUUCGGAAACGGACGCUAAUACCGCAUACGUCCUACGGGAGAAAGCAGGGGACCUUCGGGCCUUGCGCUAUCAGAUGAGCCUAGGUCGGAUUAGCUAGUUGGUGAGGUAAUGGCUCACCAAGGCGACGAUCCGUAACUGGUCUGAGAGGAUGAUCAGUCACACUGGAACUGAGACACGGUCCAGACUCCUACGGGAGGCAGCAGUGGGGAAUAUUGGACAAUGGGCGAAAGCCUGAUCCAGCCAUGCCGCGUGUGUGAAGAAGGUCUUCGGAUUGUAAAGCACUUUAAGUUGGGAGGAAGGGCAGUUACCUAAUACGUGAUUGUUUUGACGUUACCGACAGAAUAAGCACCGGCUAACUCUGUGCCAGCAGCCGCGGUAAUACAGAGGGUGCAAGCGUUAAUCGGAAUUACUGGGCGUAAAGCGCGCGUAGGUGGUUUGUUAAGUUGGAUGUGAAAUCCCCGGGCUCAACCUGGGAACUGCAUUCAAAACUGACUGACUAGAGUAUGGUAGAGGGUGGUGGAAUUUCCUGUGUAGCGGUGAAAUGCGUAGAUAUAGGAAGGAACACCAGUGGCGAAGGCGACCACCUGGACUAAUACUGACACUGAGGUGCGAAAGCGUGGGAGCAAACAGGAUUAGAUACCCUGGUAGUCCACGCCGUAAACGAUGUCAACUAGCCGUUGGAAGCCUUGAGCUUUUAGUGGCGCAGCUAACGCAUUAAGUUGACCGCCUGGGGAGUACGGCCGCAAGGUUAAAACUCAAAUGAAUUGACGGGGGCCCGCACAAGCGGUGGAGCAUGUGGUUUAAUUC